CCUACGGGAGGCAGCAGUGGGGAAUCUUGCGCAAUGGGCGAAAGCCUGACGCAGCGACGCCGCGUGGGCGAAGAAGGCCUUCGGGUUGUAAAGCCCUGUGGGGGAGAACGAACCGUACGGGGGCGAAUACCCUCCGUGCCUGACGGUACUCCUUUAGCAAGCAUCGGCUAACUCUGUGCCAGCAGCCGCGGUAAGACAGAGGAUGCAAACGUUGCUCGGAAUUACUGGGCGUAAAGCGCGUGUAGGCGGUCUGGUAAGUCGGACGUGAAAUCCCGGGGCUCAACCCCGGAAGUGCGCUCGAUACUGCCGGACUUGGGUUCUGAAGAGGAGAGCGGAAUUCCCGGUGUAGAGGUGAAAUUCGUAGAUAUCGGGAGGAACACCAGUGGCGAAGGCGGCUCUCUGGGCAGAUACCGACGCUGAGACGCGAAAGCGUGGGAAGCAAACAGGCUUAGAUACCCCAGUAGUC
rnacentral:rRNA from 1 species